rnacentral:rRNA from 1 species
AGAGUUUGAUCCUGGCUCAGAACGAACGCUGGCGGCGUGCUUAACACAUGCAAGUCGAACGAGAAAGUUUCCUUCGGGAAGCGAGUAGAGUGGCGCACGGGUGAGUAACGCGUAGGUAAUCUAUCCUUAUAUUUGGGAUAACAGACCGAAAGGUCUGCUAAUACCGGAUAGCCUUUUAGAUAUGCGAGUAUUUAGGAGUAAAGGUGGCCUCUGUAUAUGCUACCGUAUAGGGAUGAGUCUGCGUACCAUUAGCUAGUAGGUGGGGUAACGGCCCACCUAGGCAACGAUGGUUAGCGGGUCUGAGAGGAUGAUCCGCCACACUGGAACUGGAACACGGACCAGACUCCUACGGGAGGCAGCAGUGAGGAAUAUUGCGCAAUGGGGGCAACCCUGACGCAGCGACGCCGCGUGAGUGAGGAAGGUUUUCGGAUCGUAAAGCUCUGUCAGAAGGGAAGAAAUGCUAUGCAGUUAAUACCUGCAUAGUUUGACGUACCUUCAGAGAAGCACCGCUAACU